rnacentral:hammerhead_ribozyme from 2 species
GUCCAACUGAUGAGUCCAAAUAGGGACGAAACACGUGUCUUGGGC